CGUGACUGUACUCUUGUGACUGCACGCUCAACAACAAACCAACAAACAUGAAAUUCUUCAGGGUACUCGGUAUGAUCGCCGCUCUGCUGCUCGCCGCACAAGUCGCGAGCGCUCAGGAGAAUGCAGCCUCUGACGAAGUAGGUCUCCGUGGACCGAGAAAUG